ACGCUGGCGGCGUGCCUAAUACAUGCAAGUAGAACGCUGAAGGAGGAGCUUGCUCUUCUGGAUGAGUUGCGAACGGGUGAGUAACGCGUAGGUAACCUGCCUGGUAGCGGGGGAUAACUAUUGGAAACGAUAGCUAAUACCGCAUAAGAGUAGAUGUUGCAUGACAUUUACUUAAAAGGUGCAAUUGCGUCACUACCAGAUGGACCUGCGUUGUAUUAGCUAGUUGGUGGGGUAACGGCUCACCAAGGCGACGAUACAUAGCCGACCUGAGAGGGUGAUCGGCCACACUGGGACUGAGACACGGCCCAGUCUCCUACGGGAGGCAGCAGUAGGGAAUCUUCGGCAAUGGACGGAAGUCUGACCGAGCAACGCCGCGUGAGUGAAGAAGGUUUUCGGAUCGUAAAGCUCUGUUGUAAGAGAAGAACGAGUGUGAGAGUGGAAAGUUCACACUGUGACGGUAUCUUACCAGAAAGGGACGGCUAACUACGUGCCAGCAGCCGCGGUAAUACGUAGGUCCCAAGCGUUGUCCGGAUUUAUUGGGCGUAAAGCGAGCGCAGGCGGUUAGAUAAGUCUGAAGUUAAAGGCUGUGGCUUAACCAUAGUACGCUUUGGAAACUGUUUAACUUGAGUGCAAGAGGGGAGAGUGGAAUUCCAUGUGUAGCGGUGAAAUGCGUAGAUAUAUGGAGGAACACCGGUGGCGAAAGCGGCUCUCUGGCUUGUAACUGACGCUGAGGCUCGAAAGCGUGGGGAGCAAACAGGAUUAGAUACCCUGGUAGUCCACGCCGUAAACGAUGAGUGCUAGGUGUUAGACCCUUUCCGGGGUUUAGUGCCGCAGCUAACGCAUUAAGCACUCCGCCUGGGGAGUACGACCGCAAGGUUGAAACUCAAAGGAAUUGACGGGGGCCCGCACA
rnacentral:rRNA from 1 species